GGGAGGAAAUGUAACAAAAAGGGUGAGUAGUACCAUAAGUAAAGUCUUGAUGUGUUUAAGACUGAACUCAUCUUCAUUCUCCUCACUAUAAUCCAACAUAGAAUCCAACACAUCAUCAAACCUAGGCAGAUUUGAAUCUCGAUGUUUAACCCUCUCAUUUAGAGAAGCUUCUACCAUUUCCUCCAAACAGACAAACGCCUCCUUCGCUCGCCGCCUUACAUUCUGCGGAUCAAACGGUUUCAAAACCGGAAACAUGUCUACUAUGUUAAGCUUCCCCAUCAUCUCCAUCGCGGUCUCCACAACCUCCUGGAACCGCCUAAUAUCCUCGGGUUCAUAGCUAGUCAUGUUUUGUGAGAAAAAUGUUUUCGCAAGCUGGUUCAAUGAGAAAGCAAACCCCAUCAUUCCGAUGUCUACCGCUGUUUUCUUCCUCGCGCACACACGGAUAUAAUCCAACAUUUCUUCCACAACGGUUUCACGGACGUUCUUGAGCGUGUCGAGUUUAUGUUGGCUUGUGAGAUACAUUCUAAGGACUUUUCUAUGGGUCUGCCAUGUUACAUUUGGUGGUAUCCAUAGGAUAGCCAUGUCAUGGUGUUUUAAAGCGGUGACCGCGUCUGGGACGGGGCGACUGGAGCACACCUCGUCUUUACUUAGGAGAAUCUCUCUAGCGGCUUCGGGUGUGGAUGCCACCACAGUUGUGAUGUUGCCUAGUUGGAUGGUCAUUAGCGGACCAUGUUUCUUUGCUAGGGUGGCUAGGGUUUUAUGUGGUUUUGGUCCAAGUAAUUGAUGGAGGUUUCCAAUGAUGGGGAGCCGCAACGGGCCCGGAGGGAGUCUUCUCUUCCGGUGAACGUCGGCGACUUGGAGGAGGAAGAAGAAGCUUAUGAUAGAAGUGAUAAUGAGAUAUAGGAGCUCCAUUUGGUGUGCAUGUUACAAUGUUCAUGCCGCCGUAGCUUUUUGUUUCUGCAAUCCUGCCGCAAGACUUUUGGUUCUGACUUCUGUUUCUUCAGUUCUCCGGUAAGACUUUUGGGCCAAUUUCACAAUUUGGGAAGUGGUGCCAUCCUUAUCCAUUUGCAAUUCAGUGAUUCACGGUGCACCAACAUUUGGGUAACAAUUCUUUUCUUUAUUCUUUUAUAGUUAUUGUUAAUUGUUAAUAGGAUUAUUGGAAUGCAAUAAAAUGGCAAAUGAAUAUCUCACAAAUAUUAAUAGGAUUAUAGGAAUGCAAUAAAAUGGCAGAUGAAUAUCUCACAAAUAGCUUGGUGAUUUACAUAGAAAAAGAAAUUGCUGAUAAGUUUAAUUAGAAGACAUAAUUGAUGAAUUAAAAAAUCUUAAAGGUCGCCGGGCUGAGUUGUAAUUCUUCGUCCAGGUUCCAUUUAUCUCGUAUCAUUAUAUAUAUAUAUAUAUAUAUAUAUAUAUAUAUAUAUAUAUAUAAGUCUUUUGUUUAUUAUACAAUAUUUAGUUUUUCUAUGUGUAAUAACGAGUCCUUUGAAUGAAUGAAUUUUUUGUUAGUUUUAUUUGAAACUAUUAUUAUUUGACCCGACUGGAAUCGAAUAGCCGACCUGACCCGACCCGAAACAUAACGAUAGGAAAAAAAAAUUUCUGUCACAUCACUUUAUGCCCCCUCGAAACUUUUGGCCAAGCUCGCCACUGCCUAAAAUAUACACUUUGGGUGCGGCUGCCCACCCACUACUAGAAAACUUUUAUUCGAGAAUUAAUCUAUUUUCUUUUUAAUUACUUCUACAUUUUCAAUUUCUGCUUUGCGUCAUAACGUGCUUAAUAUGCAUGUAAAACAAAAUUAUAACGCAGGGACCAACUCGAUGGAUGACACGUAUAAAUAAUACAAAUAAUUAGCAUCACAUAUUAACAAAUUUUUUAGCUCAUAUGAUUUGAGUGAAAAACACAUAUUUUGUUAUUUUUAUGUAUAUAAUAACAAAAUUAUAAUGCAAGGACCACUUUGAUGGAUGAGUAAAUAAUACAAACAAAUAGCACGACAUAUUAUGAUUGGGUCAAAAAUUAAAACAUAUUUUGUUAUUAAUAAUUUAAAUAUCAUUAAUGAGAUUGUGAAAUGAUAAGAGAACACACAAUCUCUUUUAUCUCUCUAACUAAAUGUAACACAUUAGAGGUUGGGUUCAUUUAGCAAAGUUAUUAGAGUUAAGGUGUUGCUUCUUUUAAAAUUAACGUUUCGACCUUCGCUAAAGAUGAAUUCGGUGUAAUUCAAGCCGUUCAAAAAGAUGUAACACCUCAACACUUGACUUGUAAUACAAAAAGUAUUUAAAGAAUGAAGUAGAUUUAAUCACAUGAGUUUAGCACAUGAUAAGAGAACACACAGCACUAAAACAAUCUGUUGGAUCAGAUAGUAAAUUUAGAGAGCGGUGAAAUGGUUGAUAUUUAUUCAGUACUCAAAGACCAUAUAUAUAUGGCAGCAUACAAUAACUAACAACUUUCACCUAACAACCAGCAGUAAAUUAAAAGAUAAACAAAUAAAGUAGGCUAUAGUCUUGUAUGUCCACUGCAACUUACUUAGUGACCACUUGAGGUGUAACAACAAGUGGUGUUGCCUUAAGCAAUGCAAGGCCAAACUUGUCAUCCAUGUUCACUUCUUCAUUAGCAUCCCAAUCAAAAUGAUACACAAAUGAGGCCACAAUCAAACUCAACAUCCUCUCAGCCAAAGGCAUACCUGGGCACUUCCUUCUACCUGACCCAAAUGGUAUGAACUCAAAAUGUUGCCCCUUAAAGUCAACCUUAUUUUUCAAGAAUCUUUCGGGCAUAAACACGCUCGGGUUUUCCCAAUAUCUCUCGUCCCGUGCCACAGCCCAUGCAUUCACCAAAAGUCGUGUGUUUUUUGGCACAACAUAAUUACCGAUUUGGACUUCGGUUUGAGUAAUGUGAGGUGCCAAUAAGGGUGACCCGGCGUGAAGUCGUAGUGUUUCUUUGAUGACAGCAUGCAAGUAGGGCAGCUCAAGGGUUUUCGCUUCUUCAAUAGUUCCAUCUUCUCCCACUAUAUGGCUCACUUCUUCGCGGACUUUUAAUAACAUGUGAGGGUUAAGUAACAGUUCAGACAUUAUCCAUGUUGUCGAGCUUGCUAUCGUGUCCGUUCCUGCUACUAACACUUCCUGCGCAAUUAUGUAUUAUGUACUUCCCUUAGCUUUUUGUAUACAUCUUCCUUGAUUAUGUUUCAUGAUAUGUAAUAUAUAUUAAUGUAACGUAUGGUGGAUAAUGUCUUUAUAAAUGACAUGAUUAUUAGUUUUCUUGUAGGAUUUCUAGGCGUUUUGGAGAAUUAUGAAGUGUUUUUAGGAACUUUUUGAAUACAAAUAAAUGGGUAGCGACCUCAUGCAAAAGCGGGCAAAGAGGUUUGAGUUUGCUUGUUAGACUAUACCGUCCGCAGGGUAUGAACAAUGAGCGUUAUUCUUCGACAUGUCUCUGCAAUGUCAGCACACGUCAGAAAAGUGACGUGGUGUAAAAAAAGGAGGUGUGGGAA